GAGGAAUAUUGGUCAAUGGACGGAAGUCUGAACCAGCCAAGUAGCGUGCAGGAAGACGGCCCUAUGGGUUGUAAACUGCUUUUAUACGAGAAUAAUUUGAUGCACGUGUGCGUUAUUGCAUGUAUCGUAUGAAUAAGGACCGGCUAAUUCCGUGCCAGCAGCCGCGGUAAUACGGAAGGUCCAGGCGUUAUCCGGAUUUAUUGGGUUUAAAGGGAGUGUAGGCGGUUUGUUAAGCGUGUUGUGAAAUUUAGGUGCUCAACAUUUAACUUGCAGCGCGAACUGUCAGACUUGAGUACACGCAACGUAUGCGGAAUUCAUGGUGUAGCGGUGAAAUGCUUAGAUAUCAUGAAGAACUCCGAUUGCGAAGGCAGCAUACGGGAGUGUAACUGACGCUUAAGCUCGAAGGUGCGGGUAUCGAACAGGAUUAGAUACCCUGGUAGUCCGCACAGUAAACGAUGGAUGCCCGCUGUUAGCGCCUGGCGUUAGCGGCUAAGCGAAAGCAUUAAGCAUCCCACCUGGGGAGUACGCCGGCAACGGUG
rnacentral:rRNA from 1 species